rnacentral:rRNA from 1 species
GUGGGGAAUAUUGGACAAUGGGCGCAAGCCUGAUCCAGCAAUACCGCGUGUGUGAAGAAGGCUCUAGGGUCGUAAAGCACUUUCAGUAGGGAGGAAAGGUCGUUGGUUAAUACCCAUCGGCUGUGACGUUACCUACAGAAGAAGCACCGGCUAACUCCGUGCCAGCAGCCGCGGUAAUACGGAGGGUGCAAGCGUUAAUCGGAAUUACUGGGCGUAAAGCGCGCGUAGGCGGAUUGUUAAGUCUCAUGUGAAAGCCCUGGGCUCAACCUGGGAACUGCAUGGGAUACUGGCAAUCUAGAAUACAGUAGAGGGUAGUGGAAUUUCAGGUGUAGCGGUGAAAUGCGUAGAGAUCUGAAGGAACAUCAGUGGCGAAGGCGACUACCUGGACUGAUAUUGACGCUGAGGUGCGAAAGCGUGGGGAGCAAACAGG